GACGAACGCUGGCGGCGUGCUUAACACAUGCAAGUCGAGCGGUAAGGCCCUUCGGGGUACACGAGCGGCGAACGGGUGAGUAACACGUGAGCAAUCUGCCCUUCACUCUGGGAUAACCCCCGGAAACGGGAGCUAAUACCGGAUAUGACCACUCCACGCAUGUGUUGGUGGUGGAAAGUUCUGGCGGUGGAGGAUGAGCUCGCGGCCUAUCAGCUUGUUGGUGGGGUAAUGGCCCACCAAGGCUUCGACGGGUAGCCGGCCUGAGAGGGUGACCGGCCACACUGGGACUGAGAAACGGCCCAGACUCCUACGGGAGGCAGCAGUGGGGAAUAUUGGACAAUGGGCGAAAGCCUGAUCCAGCAACGCCGCGUGAGGGAUGACGGCCUUCGGGUUGUAAACCUCUUUCAGCGCAGACGAAGCGAGAGUGACGGUAUGCGCAGAAGAAGCACCGGCCAACUACGUGCCAGCCGCCGCCGUAAUAC
rnacentral:rRNA from 1 species